rnacentral:pre_miRNA from 1 species
UGGAGGAACAGCCCCAGUGGUUGCUGCAGCUCUGGAGCCCUGGAUUCAGCUCCCGCAGGAACUACUCUGUCUGCAAGGCCUGGAGGCUCCAGGGCGGG